UCUAUCCAACAAAACUUCUCUCUUUUUAUUCACUUAUGUGAAGGAAUUGGCCGAGGAGUUAUCGAGCACACCUCAAAUCCUCACAGCACAUGACCACAUUGGAAACCAUAUCUUAUGUAGAUGAAAAUAGACAAGAAUGAUUGAGUAAACAAGCACAAAGAAGAACAAAGCAAUAAAAAUGAGAAUGCAAGAAAUAUACGUAGCUUGGCCAAUGGUGUUUCAACCUACGUCUACAGGCAAGACCUUCUCAAUGCAUUCUUCGAUUAACACACCACACGAACUACAAGGAGUAUAUUGCACUACAAGAAUAUUAUAUAUUGAUGGCGAGUAAUGUCACCACCAUAUAUAUAAAAAGUUGUCAUCUUUUCAAAAGGUGGCGACUUUUAAAGUCGCCACAAGCUGCCACCGAAAGUGUUGCCGCUAAAUUAAAUUGUGGCGAAGCAUGAAAAAUUGCCACCUUUUUGAAAAUAGCGUGGCGAUAUUUUAUCAACACGAAAUAUGACUUUUAGUCGCCAUUGUUAGUUGCUACCUUAUUAAAGAUAGCGUGGCGACAUUUUGUCGCCACCAAAUAUAACUUUUAGUGGCAACUAUUAGUCGCCACCUUAUUAAAGAUAGCGUGUCGAUAUUUUGUCGCCAUUAAAUAUAACUUUUUAGUGGCCCUUCUUAGUCACCACCUUUCAUGGAGAUAUAAGUCGCCACCUUUCAUGGAGACAAGGUGGCAAUACAUUUUCGCCAUCAAAUAUUUACCUUAAGUGGCAACCAUCACAGUCUUAGUUAAAAAUAAAAAGGCACUUUUUGUCGCCACAAAUUGUGCAAUAAAUGACCACCAAUAAUAAAAAGGUAAUAAAAUCAAUAUAAAAAUAUACAGCUUAUAUUUUAUAAACAGAAUAUAUACAAAAUAACAAACAAAAUAUUAAAGUAAACAAAAUUAUUCUUUUAACAAUAAUUUAAAAGGCUAAUUGACUUCUGAUCCACAAGAGCUUAAAAACAAA
rnacentral:lncRNA from 1 species